AUCACUUCUUGGCCUUUUGGCUAAGAUCAAAUGUAGUAUCUGUUCUUACCAGUUUAAUAUCUGAUAUGUCCCUAUCUGGGGACCGUAUAUUAAUUUGAUUUUUGGAACAAAGAGAUGGAAUAGGGGUUUGCUCUGUGAAAAAAAAUUUUUGCAAUUGUGUUCAGGUGGUCUUGUAUAUUGUUACAGUUU
rnacentral:snRNA from 1 species